CUUUCAGGAGGCUUCUGCUCAGCUAGGGAGACAAGACUUACAUAGAGAACACAAGAAAUUGAACAAAAUUGGUUUUAUGUGCCAGAGGAUUUCAGGGACUGGAGAGAUUGUUAUGGAUGCUCACAGAAGGCUCAUGGAGGCUUGGACUGAGCCCAAAAGAAUGAAGACUGCUUAAGAAGGCAGAGGAGAAUGUUAGGAGAAAGCCACAUUCUAUGCAAAGGUUCCCUAGGUGCAAAUGCAUAAGGCAUGCUGGGAAGCUGAUGAGUAACUCAUCUGGCUAGGGAAGACUGCACUGAACACAUCUGAGGGAGAGAGGUGAUGAAAACAGUUUAAAGAAAAUCACUCCUUGUGGAUGCCAGAUGGAGUGCAUUGGGGCGCAACUGGAGACCCUGCGCUCAGUGGAUCAGCUGGCAUCACCCAGAUCAAUAAACUGGCUCACCUGGACUUACGGCCCCCACCAGGAACUGACUUAGCACAAGAGGACAGCUUCCAUUCCCUAUGAGGUCGUCUCUGACCUGACCAAUCAGCACUCCUAACUCACUGGCCCCCUACCCACCAAAUUAUCCUUAAAAACUCCAAUCCCCAAAUUUUCAGAGAAACUAAUUUGAGUAAUAAUAAAACUCCAGUCUCACGCGCA
rnacentral:lncRNA from 13 species